rnacentral:rRNA from 1 species
UACGGGGGGGGCAAGCGUUGUUCGGAAUUACUGGGCGUAAAGGGAGCGUAGGCGGAUAGUUUAGUCAGAGGUGAAAGCCCAGGGCUCAACCUUGGAAUUGCCUUUGAUACUGGCUAUCUUGAGUACGGAAGAGGUAUGUGGAACUCCGAGUGUAGAGGUGAAAUUCGUAGAUAUUAGGAAGAACACCAGUGGCGAAGGCGGCUCACUGGCCCGGUACUGACGCUGAGGCGCGAAAGCGUGGAGAGCAAACAGG